GCGCCAGCAGGGCUUUGGCUGAGGAGAACACUUUAAUCCCCGGGGAAAGGUGCCCUGAAGGCGCCGGAGGAGCAGAGCUCAGGGGACAGGGAGCAGCGCAGCGAGGAGCUCCGUUUGGAAGGCCCCGGGAUGGUUCCUCUCUGCUCCCCGCCGUGCCGGCCGCUGCUGGCAGUGCCUGUGGCAGCCCGUCUAGAACUAGUGUGCUCUUGGAGAGAAGAGCAUCCUGAAGAUCUGUCUGGGACAGGGAUGUCUUCAGGGACCUGUGGAGACAACCUCUGCUCAAUCACCUAGUGAGGAACUCUUCAGGAGUUGCAGGUAUGUAUCCUGCCAAAGGUGUGGCCUCACACUCUGUACAGUUGCAUGCUAAAGACUGAGGAUGCCUUUGAAGACAUUUCCAGGUCUGACUUCGGCUUCUGCACAAGGAAAAACCUCAGGAGAAGUUUUUGGGGUGUGACUUCAGAGAUGGAUUUGUAUACAGUCAAUAACUGAGGCACCC
rnacentral:lncRNA from 1 species